GGAUCUAAGAAGCAGUGAUUGUUGAUGAGCUGGUUCAGCUGGUGUCUAUUGAUGUUAAAGCUCUUGUGUAUGCUUGCACCUUUGUUUUCCACUGUGGGUGCUUGUUGGUCAAAUUCAUGUGUACCUCCUGCAACAUGGUUAGUGCACUGUGGCUCCACAGAAAUAACAUGUAGGGGUAUAACACCCAAUCCCAGUGUAACAGGCUGAACCAAUGAUAUACCCUCAGAACAUGAAUCAAUUUCAGAUAUAUAAACAAUAUCAAUCACAGGUUCAGAUUCAUGUUCAGUGCAUGGAGAACAAACAUUCAGAUGUGAUAACACAAGGUGGUUCUCA
rnacentral:lncRNA from 1 species